AUGGCCGCGCCGUGCACUUCCAUCACGGACGACCGCCUGGCCGUCCUCCUGGAGGAGAUCUUCCUCCUGCUGCCCACCCCAGCCGACCUCGUCCGCGCCUCCGCCGCCUGCGUCCCCUUCCGCCAGAUCGCCACCUGCAGCCUCUUCCUCCGGCGAUUCCGCAAAACACACACUCCGCCCUUCAUCGGCUCCAUGGACUGGGACGGCCUCCGCCCCGCGCUCCCUCCUCACACCAGCGCGCCCAUCGCCGGGGCCAUCGCCCACGCAGCCGACUUCACCUUCUCCUUCAUCCCACGCCACACCCGCUACUCCCUGCUGCGAGAUCCCGGCUGCUGGACGGUCAAGAGCGCCCGCGACGGCAUCUUAUAA
rnacentral:rRNA from 1 species